rnacentral:rRNA from 1 species
AUUGAACGCUGGAGGCAGGCCUAACACAUGCAAGUCGAACGAGUGGCGGACGGGUGAGUAAUGUCUGGGAAACUGCCUGAUGGAGGGGGAUAACUACUGGAAACGGUAGCUAAUACCGCAUACCAUCAGAUGUGCCCAGAUGGGAUUAGCUAGUUGGUGGGGUAACGGCUCACCAAGGCGGCGAUCCCUAGCUGGUCUGAGAGGCAGCACCGGCCAACUGGAACUGAGACAACGUUCAGACUCCUACGGGAGGUAGCAGUGGGGAAUAUUGCACAAUGGGCGCAAGCCUGAUGCAGCCAUGCCGCGUGUAUGAAGAAGGCCUUCGGGUUGUAAAGUACUUUCAGCGGGGAGGCGUUACCCGCAGAAGAAGCACCGGCUAACUCCGUGCCAGCAGCCGCGGUAAUUC